rnacentral:rRNA from 1 species
UACGUACUAGUUAUUAGUAAGGGUACGAAGUACGUACUACGUNACNNAAACGAUGGACCUGCGUUGGAUUAGCUAGAUGGUGAGGUAACGGCCCACCAUGGCGACGAUCGGUAGCCGGACUGAGAGGUUGAUCGGCCACAUUGGGACUGAGACACGGCCCAGACUCCUACGGGAGGCAGCAGUGGGGAAGUAUUGCACAAUGGGCGAAAGCCUGAUGCAGCGACGCCGCGUGAGGGAUGACGGCCUUCGGGUUGUAAACCUCUUUCAGCAGGGAAGAAGCGAAAGUGACGGUACCUGCAGAAGAAGCACCGGCUAACUACGUGCCAGCAGCCGCGGUAAUACGUAGGGUGCGAGCGUUGUCCGGAAUUAUUGGGCGUAAAGAGCUUGUAGGCGGUUUGUCGCGUCUGCUGUGAAAAUCCGGGGCUCAACCCCGGACUUGCAGUGGGUACGGGCAGACUAGAGUGUGGUAGGGGAGACUGGAAUUCCUGGUGUAGCGGUGAAAUGCCGCAGAUAUCAG